rnacentral:rRNA from 1 species
UUUGUGAUUCAUGACUGGGGUGAAGUCGUAACAAGGUAACCGUAGGGGAACCUGCGGUUGGAUCUCCUCCUUACCUUAAAGAAGC